UGAAUUGCAGAGGAAGGAUUUAGAGAUAAUGACGCCUUCGGGGUCUCUGUGAAGGUGCUGCAUGGUUGUCGUCAGCUCGUGCCGUGAGGUGUCGGCUUAAGUGCCAUGACGAGCGCAACCCCUCUCUUCAGUUGCCAUCAGGUGAUGCUGGGCACUCUGGAGACACUGCCACCGUAAGGUGUGAGGAAGGUGGGGAUGACGUCAAAUCAGCACGGCCCUUACGUCCGGGGCUACACACGUGUUACAAUGGCCGGUACAGAGGGAUGGUGUAAUGCAAAUUGCAUCAAAUCUUGAAAGCCGGUCCCAGUUCGGACUGGGGUCUGCAACCCGACCCCACGAAGCUGGAUUCGCUAGUAAUCGCGCAUCAGCCAUGGCGCGGUGAAUACGUUCCCGGGCCUUGUACACACCGCCCGUCAAGCCAUGAAAGCCGGGGGUGCCUGAAGUCCGUGACCGCAAGGAUCGGCCUAGGGCAAAACUGGUGAUUGGGGCUAAGUCGUAACAAGGUAACCA
rnacentral:rRNA from 1 species